rnacentral:lncRNA from 1 species
CCUAUACUCAAGAACCACUGCGGUUACAGGGAUUUGCAGAGCUGUCCCAGCCACGACAGCCAGGCAGUCACUGCUGUCAGCUUAAAGUGGAUUUAGGAGUCCAGCAACUCUGCUGGCUAGAAGGUGAGGCCAGCGAGUCCACGUGGGAUUCAAAAUCAACUGUUCCGCUAGUGUUUUCGUUGGGUUGGGUGACUGGGGCAGUUUUAAGAUGUCUUCAGUAGAAACGAGUAUCGCCCCAAAGGCCCUCAGCCGUUUAGUGGAUGCGCGUGUUAGCCUUGCUUCUGAAACGGCUGGUUACUUUUAUAAGAGAAGAUUAGAGCACGUCGAUGUCUGCUCCUGGAACAGAGAGCAGUGUCAGGAAUUAUCCUAACAAGUCGCAGGGAACUUAAUGGUUUUGACAGAAGGUCACUUCUCUUUAACCUUCUUGGAGGUUUGUUAAUGUCUGACCCAAUUAAAUAUUAUAUGAAUUGUGUCUUCUGUUUGGAUACAGUGUUGGGGGAGAAUAUCACAUUAAUUAACUGAGAACAAACUGACCCAAGUGAAUCCUUCAUGGAAAUAAAGGUUUAAAGUAGCCAGGUCGAGUGCCCCAGCUGCUGCCCUAUGGUCUAGUGUCACCUGCUGGUAAGACGCGGAACUGCCCUCUUCGUGAAUGCAUCUCACUGCAUUGUCCUUUGUCCAGAAUGAAUCCAGUCAGAUAGUUUCCUUUCCUUCGGGGAACUGUUUACCAGGCAGAAGCUGCUCUGGCUAAGGAUCAUUCUCUCGGCCUGUGUCUGUUUCUCAGUUAUGUGCUGAGCGUCAUCCACACAAGGAGAGCAAGAUGCUCCCUCCGUGGGUCUCGGUGAGAAUCCAGACACCCAGAUCCAUGGCUUCCAAAUCGCUAAGAGCAGUUGUUUUGUUUCUGUGCUGCUGCAGCGAUCUGGAAUGGGUUUUACUAAGACAGAUAUUACAGAACCAAAAAAAACUGCUACUCAGUUCCUACAAGACUUGUUCUCGGCUACACUGUCGCUUGGUAUUCCGUGUUAAACAACGCUGUUUUUGCUACCAAGAAAGGAAGUGAUGUUUCUCGCCAUGCCCAAGUUGUUUGGUAGAUGUGAAUCAAUUAAUUCAAAACAUUUUUUAAAGCAAAGAGGUCUAAGCUUUGUAAGCUGUUGUCUGUGAGGAAUUACAUGUGUUUAGCAGAUGCCUGAGAGUAUUUUUCUAAACAGAACUCUACUCUUACCAUUUUAUUUCUUCUUUCAAAUAAUCUGUCAUUAUAUAUUAAAUUUUUUUGUUGUACAUAUCAGAAUAAAAAGCUUUUCUUUUGAGUUAA